rnacentral:lncRNA from 1 species
AUCGGAGGUGCCUCAGCCAUGGCAUGGAUCCCUCUCUUCCUCGGCGUCCUUGCUUACUGCACAGGAUCCGUGGCCUCCUAUGAGCUGACUCAGCCACCCUCAGUGUCCGUGUCCCCAGGACAGACAGCCAGCAUCACCUGCUCUGGAGAUAAAUUGGGGGAUAAAUAUGCUUGCUGGUAUCAGCAGAAGCCAGGCCAGUCCCCUGUGCUGGUCAUCUAUCAAGAUAGCAAGCGGCCCUCAGGGAUCCCUGAGCGAUUCUCUGGCUCCAACUCUGGGAACACAGCCACUCUGACCAUCAGCGGGACCCAGGCUAUGGAUGAGGCUGACUAUUACUGUCAGGCCCUGUGUCACAGUGUGUGGUAUUCGGCGGAGGGACCAAGCUGACCGUCCUAGGUCAGCCCAAGGCUGCCCCCUCGGUCACUCUGUUCCCGCCCUCCUCUGAGGAGCUUCAAGCCAACAAGGCCACACUGGUGUGUCUCAUAAGUGACUUCUACCCGGGAGCCGUGACAGUGGCCUGGAAGGCAGAUAGCAGCCCCGUCAAGGCGGGAGUGGAGACCACCACACCCUCCAAACAAAGCAACAACAAGUACGCGGCCAGCAGCUAUCUGAGCCUGACGCCUGAGCAGUGGAAGUCCCACAGAAGCUACAGCUGCCAGGUCACGCAUGAAGGGAGCACCGUGGAGAAGACAGUGGCCCCUACAGAAUGUUCAUAGGUUCUCAACCCUCACCCCCCACCACGGGAGACUAGAGCUGCAGGAUCCCAGGGGAGGGGUCUCUCCUCCCACCCCAAGGCAUCAAGCCCUUCUCCCUGCACUCAAUAAACCCUCAAUAAAUAUUCUCAUUGUCA